rnacentral:lncRNA from 1 species
AUGGCAGCGGUAUGGCAGUGCAGUCCCAUAAAUCCAACUCAAAGACAGCUGCAGAGCAAUGGCAAUUCACCGCCUCCCCACAUCCAGUUGGCUCCAGCGCUGGUGGUUAGUCAAUCUAUUACACAGAUAGAUGGUUUCACAUGUUUAUUCACAGAGUCCUGUCCUUGGGGAUCAUAUGCACACGGCCCUUCACACAGGAAGCCGGCACACUCAAGUCCCACACCUACUUCCCCAACUGCAACCCCAGGCGCCCUGACCUCCUCCCCCCAGAGGUGCAGGGCACACACCUGCAGGAGCACACUAUUUACACUAGCGGUGCACACCAGCAGUCCCACACCGGGGCACACACGGGCCAGCCCCACCUUGGCCACACCCGCGGCCGCCCAGGCAAUCACGCCGGGCACACACGCAGCCGGGCACACGUGCCGUGAGUACACCGGCCCCUGCUCGCCCGCGCACUCACACGGGCUCUCACACCCCCGCGUUUCCCGUCCCCGCUUGUUUUUCUGGAAACUCUGCUCCCCGCUCUCCUCCCCCUGGGCCGGAAGUGCUCGCGGUAUUUUUAGCCUUUCUGGUUUCCGCCCCUUUCUCCCCCCACCCGSCCCGCCCGCCCAGGACCCGAUCGGGGCGCCCAGCCCGGGACCCCGGCCACGUCCCUCCCCACCGUCAUUCCAGAGGGGAUUCCCGGGGCCGCUGGAGCCGCGGAUUUUCCCGCUGGCUACGUGGGGAGCGGGGAGGAGUCCUGCCGUGAACUUCCUCGGGCCUGGGCGCUGGGGGCAGGGCCCCCGACUCCGGGCCGAGAGGGGAGGGUCCGGGCCCGGGUGCGAGCGAGWCGCGCCUGGGGGCCGCAGCCCUGCGGGCGACGGAGGAGGGCCUCGACCCUCGCUGUCCUGGCAGGAGAGGCCCAGGCCCAGCUUCCAGAGCCUCCCACGUCGGCCUGGAGUUUGGGGGAAGCAGGGGUCGUCCCGCCCUGCGAGGGUGGCCCGAUCCCCAGCGUCCAGCUCUGGUCCCGAUGACUCAGCAGAUGGCACAGGGGAGGGGGCCGGGCCGACUCAGGAGUGGGAAGGGCGCCCUGUCUCCAGGGAAUCGAAACUGGACUCCCUCCCCCUGGGCCGUGGCCAGAGCGGACCCGGGCUGCCCCCCACUCAGGUUUUCCCCUCUAGUCCCUGGAGCGACAGCGACGGCGCUGGCCUGGGCGGGAGGCAGGUCCCGGGGCCCCUCCUCGCGCCCCCCUCCCGCCGCUCUUCCCCUGGUCCUCGAGGCUCUGUUUACAGCAGACAGGAGCCCUGGUUACAGGAGAGGAACCCGGGCGUCCCGGCUGAGCCUCCUCGUCACGGCUUCCAGGAAGCCCCCUCCCCCGCCCCCUGCGAGUGA